UGUCCUGGUCAUGCUUUAAACUGGGAGACUGUGUGGAGCAGAGAGCAGCAGGUCCAGUGUCUAGUUCUGUGAGAAGAGCAAAAACACCAGGAUGGAUUCCCAUAAUUUCAGCAGGAAGGAAGAAGUAUAUGACAUUAAACUGGGGACCUUUAGAGCAGACCCUCCAGAGUCCAGCUGUGUGUCUAUGAAGAGCAACCAUUCCAUGGAGCAGCCUCUUUAUUUCAGUAAUGAAAGAAGCAUCACUGAUCUGAGACUGCAGACAUUUAGAGCAGAGCCUCCAGAGUCCAGCUGUGUGUCUAUGAAGAGCAACCAUUCCAUGGAGCAGCCUCUUUAUUUCAGUAAUGAAAGAAGCAGCUCUGAUCUGAGACUGCAGACAUUCAGAGCAGAACCUCCAGAGCCCAGCUGUGUGUCUUUGAGGAGCAACCACUCGAUGCAGCAGCCUUACAAUUUCAGUAAUGACAAACUUACCACUGAGCUGAGACUGCAGACAUUCAGAGCAGAACCUCCAGAGCCCAGCUGUGUGUCUUUGAGGAGCAACCACUCGAUGCAGCAGCCUUACAAUUUCAGUAAUGAUAAAUUUACCACUGAGCUGAGACUGCAGACAUUCAGAGCAGAACCUCCAGAGCCCAGCUUUGUGUCUAUGAGGAGCAACCACUCGAUGCAGCAGCCUUACAAUUUCAGUAACAAAAAGCUGAGACUGCAGACAUCCGGAGCAGAACCUCCAGAGCCCAGCUGUGUGUCUAUGAGGAGCAACCAUUCGAUGCAGCAGCCUUACAACUUCAGUAACAUCAAAUGUACCACUGAGCUGAGACAGACAUUAAGAGUAGAACCUCCAGAACCCAGCUGUGUGUCUAUGAGGAGCAACCACUCGAUGCAGCAGCCUUUUAAUUUCAGUAACGAAAGAAGCAGCACUGAGCCGAGAGCAGAACCUCCAGAGCCCAGCUGUGUGUCUUUGAGGAGCAACCACUCGAUGCAGCAGCCUUACAAUUUCAGUAACAACAAAUGUAUCACUGAGCUGAGGUGAGAAACCAGCAUGGGAUGAGAGUGAGUUUAAACAGGGUGUUUUUUGUAGUAAGUCUGUUUUUUUCUUUUUUUUGGUCAUCUCCAAUGAAAAGUACUUUUUAACACUACAUUUUUUCUACCUUCCAGUAAAAAAAAAUCAGGCUGCACAGAAUAUUGUUUAAGCAUUGUCAUCACACAGCAUUCAUGUGAAAUAAUCUUUACAGUACAUUGCAGUAUGUGUGACGCCACGUGAAGCAAAUAAAUAAAAAAUGUUACUCA
ensembl:lncRNA